rnacentral:tRNA from 1 species
GCCCCUGUAGCUCAGAGGAUAGAGCGCUGGCCUCCGGAGCCAGGUGCGCGAGUUCGAGUCUCGCCAGGGGUACCA